CCGGGUGCCGGGCAGCCGCUGAGAGAAGCAGAACGUGGUAGCUGGUAGUGGAAAAAGGAAAGCCGGCAUGUUCCGAAUCGAGGGCCUCGCGCCGAAGCUGGACCCCGAGGAGAUGAAACGGAAGAUGCGCGAGGAUGUGAUCUCCUCCAUACGGAACUUCCUCAUCUACGUGGCCCUGCUGCGAGUCACACCUUUUAUCCUAAAGAAACUGGAUAGCAUAUGAAGAUGAACAUCACAUGUGAAUGCAUGAUAAGAGGAACCCGGUUACAACUUCUACUCCUAUCUGCAAAUGAAUAGGCCCCGAAAGAUGUAAGAGACUCUGAAUGGACAUAAAAAUUCUACUCAUUAAGAACAAGUUUGGCCUCUGGUAACUGACCUUCAUAGCUAAAAUUUAAAACUGCUUGAGAAGUAAAGACAUUUUGUGGUGAUGGUACACCCAUAUGCUUGUGAUGUUCAGCCUCUGUGAAUGUUGAUAUAAUUAAUUGAGGAAAGAAAAUCGCUAAUUGAAAAUAUGUUCAUGAUACCAAGAGACUGAAGACUAAUUUUUAUGGGACAGUGCGGAAACAUCAUGGAGACUACUGCUGGAUGUCAUACAGCAAUGGGAGUUUAUAAGAUGCUUUUCUUCCCAAGGUUCAGAUUGCAUUGCCUCUGAUUAUUUGAACUGAUGACAGAGAAGCAAUAUAUAGAUAAUUUAAAAUAACAAAUAUUACAAAAAAGUUUUUAGAAAUGUGAUAGAAAAGAAUUAAAACAAGGAAAUAUAGGAAAUGGUCAAAUGAAUUGCUCAUCUUAAUAUCAUUAGUAAAAACUCAGCUUUUAUUUGAUUUUACUGUACUUUUGAGUAAAAUUUAAUAGGCUUACUAUUGAAUCUUUAUGUCAACUAAAAUUU